GACGUAGGGGGCGAGCGUUGUCCGGAUUCAUUGGGCGUAAAGAGCGCGUAGGCGGUUCGGAAAGUCGGAUGUGAAAACUCGGAGCUCAACUCCGGGCCUGCAUCCGAUACUCUCGGACUAGAGGUAGGUAGGGGAGAUCGGAAUUCCUGGUGUAGCGGUGAAAUGCGCAGAUAUCAGGAGGAACACCGGUGGCGAAGGCGGAUCUCUGGGCCUUGCCUGACGCUGAGGCGCGAAAGCUAGGGGAGCGAACAGG
rnacentral:rRNA from 1 species